CCUACGGGCGGCUGCAGUGGGGAAUUUUGGACAAUGGGCGCAAGCCUGAUCCAGCCAUUCCGCGUGAGUGAAGAAGGCCUUCGGGUUGUAAAGCUCUUUCGCAAGGGAAGAAAACUUACCUUUUAAUAGAGGGUGAGGUUGACGGUACCUUGAUAAGAAGCACCGGCUAACUACGUGCCAGCAGCCGCGGUAAUACGUAGGGUGCGAGCGUUAAUCGGAAUUACUGGGCGUAAAGCGUGCGCAGGCGGUUUUGUAAGUCAGAUGUGAAAGCCCCGGGCUCAACCUGGGAACUGCGUUUGAAACUACAAGGCUAGAGUAUGGGAGAGGGGGGUAGAAUUCCACGUGUAGCAGUGAAAUGCGUAGAGAUGUGGAGGAAUACCAAUGGCGAAGGCAGCCCCCUGGCCUAAUACUGACGCUCAGGUGCGAAAGCGUGGGGAGCAAACAGGAUUAGAUACCCUGGUAGUC
rnacentral:rRNA from 1 species